rnacentral:rRNA from 1 species
UACGUAGGGUGCAAGCGUUGUCCGGAAUUAUUGGGCGUAAAGAGCUCGUAGGCGGUGUGUCACGUCGGCCGUGAAAACCUGCAGCUUAACUGUGGGCGUGCGGUCGAUACGGGCAUCACUGGAGUUCGGCAGGGGAGACUGGAAUUCCUGGUGUAGCGGUGAAAUGCGCAGAUAUCAGGAGGAACACCGGUGGCGAAGGCGGGUCUCUGGGCAAUAACUGACGCUGAGGAGCGAAAGCGUGGGGAGCGAACAGG